rnacentral:rRNA from 1 species
GUGGGGAAUAUUGGACAAUGGGCGAAAGCCUGAUCCAGCCAUGCCGCGUGUGUGAAGAAGGUCUUUGGAUUGUAAAGCACUUUAAGUUGGGAGGAAGGGCAGUAAGUUAAUACCUUGCUGUUUUGACGUUACCGACAGAAUAAGCACCGGCUAACUUCGUGCCAGCAGCCGCGGUAAUACGAAGGGUGCAAGCGUUAAUCGGAAUUACUGGGCGUAAAGCGCGCGUAGGUGGUUUUGUAAGUUGGAGGUGAAAUCCCCGGGCUCAACCUGGGAACUGCCUCCAAAACUGCAUGACUAGAGUACGGUAGAGGGUAGUGGAAUUUCCUGUGUAGCGGUGAAAUGCGUAGAUAUAGGAAGGAACACCAGUGGCGAAGGCGACUACCUGGACUGAUACUGACACUGAGGUGCGAAAGCGUGGGGAGCAAACAGGAUUAGAUACCCGGGUAGUCC